rnacentral:ncRNA from 2 species
GACGGGCAAUCUGGAGAGUGUCAAAAAAAUUAUUUUUGACCACCGAAGGGGCACGCGGAUGCUAAUCUGUAAAUCUCUCAGGUAAAAGGACAGAGGGGUGCGA